rnacentral:lncRNA from 1 species
UCUCAUCCUCUCUCUGUCUUCCUCCCGCAGGAGCUCCGCCAUCACCCUUGGGAUCGGCCGGCUAGUGCCCGAACUACGGUGCCGUAGGUUGGAUCUAGUGUGGGCAGACCGGAUCCCUCCAUCAUGCCGCUUGUUGGAGCCCUUGCCGCCCGCGUUCACCCUCGCCGGUCGGAUCUGGCAGUGCCCAGGCGACCUCCUACUCGUGCGGAGGAUGACAAAGCCCCGAUCCAGUGCUUCGCUGGGCCACCAGGAGUGCCCUGGCCCAGCCGCGUGCAAGCCCCAUAGGUCGCGCCACGCCACACGUCCGCCAAGCUCCAAGGU